CUGAGAAGUAGAGGUGCAUUAAAUAUCAGUAUCGAUAAGUAGGGUGAUGCCGCUGAUCUAUCGAGAAAGGAUUUGAUGCCGAAGUGACAUAGCAUAUCGGGGCUAGUUGCUGGGGCUGUGACCAAAUAGGGACAGCACUGCCAUAGUAUUUCUUAUCUGGAAGAUAAGAAUUUUUAUAUUAAUGACGAACCAUUAAUAUGGCUAUGGAGCGCUACUGAUAGG
rnacentral:ncRNA from 2 species